rnacentral:misc_RNA from 1 species
UGAGGUUUUUGAGGAAGGAGAAAGUAGCACUGAUAUCACAGAAGACCUCUCAAAUAUAGGGCAAAUUCCAGGAAGCUCAAGGCCAGAAAAUGGUUCCAUACCUAAUCAGGACAUGGUACAUAAUCCAGAGGAACAUGAUAUGUGGGAGUGUGGGGCAUGCACAUUAUUGAAUCCAUCAUUAGCUCCAAUCUGCAAGCUUUGUAGCGCAGAAAGACCCAAAGAUGCAAGCACCAAGUAUAAAACGUGGUCCUGCAAAUUCUGUACCUUGAUAACAGUGUGGAGUUGGACAAAUGCUUAGCUUGCAAUCAAUGGAGAUAUUCAUAUGGUCCGCCAGUAUCAACUCGCACACCCUAUCAUGGCACUUGAUAGGUGCAAUCAAGAUGGCAUGCGAACUUAGCUGUCCAAAAGAAUUGAACAUUCUUGUUGAAUUGACUAUGAAAUCUUUGGCAUUGCAGUACUAGAUCUGUGUGUGUUUGACAACAACGUUGGCUUCAUUUCUUAAAAUGGGCAUAGUAUGUCUUGUU